UGGCAGUGCAGGGAGAUCAGAGGCAGAUGGGUGGCGGCGGCGGCGGUGUCUUAUCUGACCCACGUUGAAACUAAUCACGAUGAGAGAAGGUAGUUCCGUUGUUUCAGAGAUCAGAGGCAGAUGGACGGCGGCGACGACGGCUAAUCUGACCCACGUUGAAACUAAUCAUGAUGAGAGAAGGUAGUUUAGCUGUUUCAGGAGACAAGAUUGAUCUAGAUCUGAACGACAGUGGGCUUUUAGUAUGGGCUUUUUAAUUAUAUUCUUUUCAUGUAUAUGUAAACGAUGGAUAGGGGUCCAAGUAUCAACGUGAAAGGUUGUGUACAGCGGUGGCAGGAAUCGGUCAAUAUUUGGUGUCGUGAACAAAAAAAGAAAGAUGAAUUCUUCAUACCAUGCAAAAAAAACAGAUGGAUUGUUCAUUUUCUUUAUUUGAUGCAAAAAUAUAUAUAUCUUUAUUUUGACUUGUACAUGUGAAUCGGUUGGAUAUAUUGGGAAUGAAUAAAGUUUGUGAAUACGAAGCUAUGCAUUGAGCUCUUUUGCUUUGUUACUAAAAGUGAGGAUAACAAUUUAUUUUGUUGGAUUUUUUAGAGCUUUCUUUGAAAAUAGGACGAAAUGCAUGGAGCAGAAAAACACCAAUAAGCUAAAUCUUUCACCUUGCAAAGAUCAAUUCAUUUUCUGAAGAUUUUGUCAUCCUGGGAGAAGAAAAUUGUUCUGCAAGUGAGCACACACCAUCGCGUAGGGGUACGAUCGGGCUUGCCGAGUAGGCUUUGCGACACCGGUGCCAUUCUGCCGCUGUUAAAGUCGGCGACCGGCUCGCCAUC
rnacentral:lncRNA from 1 species